rnacentral:rRNA from 1 species
UACGUAGGUGGCAAGCGUUGCUCGGAAUCACUGGGCGUAAAGCGCACGUAGGCGGAUUGCUAAGUCAGGGGUGAAAUCCUGGAGCUCAACUCCAGAACUGCCCUUGAUACUGGCGGUCUCGAGUCCGGGAGAGGUGAGUGGAACUGCGAGUGUAGAGGUGAAAUUCGUAGAUAUUCGCAAGAACACCAGUGGCGAAGGCGGCUCACUGGCCCGGUACUGACGCUGAGGUGCGAAAGCGUGGGGAGCAAACAGG